rnacentral:rRNA from 1 species
GACGAACGCUGGCGGCGUGCCUAAUACAUGCAAGUCGAACGCAGUGGGGACGGGUGAGUAACACGUGGGUAACCUCGCAUCAGAGGGGAUAACACUUGGACACAGGUGCUAAACCGAUACUGAUGGAUGGACCCGUGGUGCAUUGGCUAGUGGGUGAGGUAACGGCUCACCAAGGCCACGAUGCAUAGCCGGCCUGAGAGGGUGAUCGGCCGCACUGUGAUUGAGACACGGCCCAGACUCCUACGGGAGGCAGCAGUGGGGAAUCUUCGGCAAUGGACGAAAGUCUGACCCAGCAACGCAGCGGGAGUGAAGAAGGUUUUCGGAUCGUAAAGCUCUGUUGUUAGAGAAGCGGUAUCUAACCAGAAAGCCACGGCUAACUACGUGCCAGCAGCCGCGGUAAUUC